CUCCUACGGGAGGCAGCAGUAGGGAAUCUCCCGCAAUGGGCGCAAGCCUGACGGAGCAACGCCGCGUGAGUGAGGAAGGCCUUCGGGUUGUAAAACUCAGUCACCUGGGAAGAGAGGUAUGGGGAGUGGAAUGCCCCAUACGAGACGGUACCAGGGGAGGAAGCCCCGGCUAACUACGUGCCAGCAGCCGCGGUAAUACGUAGGGGGCAAGCGUUGUCCGGAAUCACUGGGCGUAAAGCGUGCGUAGGCGGUCUUUCAAGUCCGGGGUGAAAACUCAAGGCUCAACCUUGAGAAUGCCUUGGAAACUGGGGGACUUGAGUACUGGAGAGGCAAGGGGAAUUCCACGUGUAGCGGUGAAAUGCGUAGAGAUGUGGAGGAAUACCAGUGGCGAAGGCGCCUUGCUGGACAGUGACUGACGCUGAGGCACGAAAGCGUGGGGAGCAAACAGGAUUAGAUACCCUGGUAGUCCACGCCGUAAACGAUGAGUGCUAGGUGUUGGGGGUUCAUCCCCUCAGUGCCGAAGGAAACCCAAUAAGCACUCCGCCUGGGGAGUACGGUCGCAAGACUGAAACUCAAAGGAAUUGACGGGGGCCCGCACAAGCAGUGGAGCAUGUGGUUUAAUUCGAAGCAACGCGAAGAACCUUACCAGGGCUUGACAUCCCUCUGACCGGUUCAGAGAUGGACCUUCCCUUCGGGGCAGAGGAGACAGGUGGUGCAUGGUUGUCGUCAGCUCGUGUCGUGAGAUGUUGGGUUAAGUCCCGCAACGAGCGCAACCCUUGACCUGUGUUACCAGCACGUAAUGGUGGGGACUCACAGGUGACUGCCGGCGUAAGUCGGAGGAAGGUGGGGAUGACGUCAAAUCAUCAUGCCCUUUAUGUCCUGGGCUACACACGUGCUACAAUGGGCGGUACAACGGGAAGCGAGACCGCGAGGUGGAGCGAAACCCAAAAAGCCGUUCGUAGCUCGGAUUGCAGGCUGCAACCCGCCUGCAUGAAGCCGGAAUUGCUAGUAAUCGCGGAUCAGCAUGCCGCGGUGAAUCCGUUCCCGGGCCUUGCACACACCGCCCGU
rnacentral:rRNA from 1 species